rfam:Capsicum annuum cultivar Zunla-1 chromosome 4, whole genome shotgun sequence
UGAUGAUGGUGAGAGUAAUUUUUUAGCAUACUUUUAAAUCUCUCCCAAUCUUGGUAAAGAUUCUCUCCUUCUUUCUAUGUGAAACUCAAAAUCUCUCUUGUCAAUCA